UGCGUAGAUAUAUGGAAGAACACCAGUGGCGAAGGCGGCUGUCUGGUCUGUAACUGACGCUGAGGCUCGAAAGUAUGGGUAGCAAACAGGAUUAGAUACCCUGGUAGUCCAUACCGUAAACGAUGAAUGCUAAGUGUUGGAGGGUUUCCCCCUUCAGUGCUGCAGCUAACGCAUUAAGCAUUCCGCCUGGGGAGUACGGCCGCAAGGCUGAAACUCAAAGGAAUUGACGGGGGCCCGCACAAGCGGUGGAGCAUGUGGUUUAAUUCGAAGCUACGCGAAGAACCUUACCAGGUCUUGACAUACUAUGCAAAUCUAAGAGAUUAGACGUUCCCUUCGGGGACAUGGAUACAGGUGGUGCAUGGUUGUCGUCAGCUCGUGUCGUGAGAUGUUGGGUUAAGUCCCGCAACGAGCGCAACCCUUAUUAUCAGUUGCCAGCAUUAAGUUGGGCACUCUGGUGAGACUGCCGGUGACAAACCGGAGGAAGGUGGGGAUGACGUCAAAUCAUCAUGCCCCUUAUGACCUGGGCUACACACGUGCUACAAUGGAUGGUACAACGAGUUGCGAACUCGCGAGAGUAAGCUAAUCUCUUAAAGCCAUUCUCAGUUCGGAUUGUAGGCUGCAACUCGCCUACAUGAAGUCGGAAUCGCUAGUAAUCGCGGAUCAGCAUGCCGCGGUGAAUACGUUCCCGGGCCUUGUACACACCGCCCGUCACACCAUGAGAGUUUGUAACACCCAAAGUCGGUGGGGUAACCUUUAGGAACCAGCCACCUAAGGUGGGACAGAUGAUUAGGGUGAAGUCGUAACAAGGUAACCA
rnacentral:rRNA from 1 species